rnacentral:rRNA from 1 species
CCUACGGGAGGCAGCAGUGAGGAAUAUUGGUCAAUGGACGAGAGUCUGAACCAGCCAAGUAGCGUGAAGGAUGACUGCCCUAUGGGUUGUAAACUUCUUUUAUAUGGGAAUAAAAUGUUCCACGUGUGGGAUUUUGUAUGUACCAUAUGAAUAAGGAUCGGCUAACUCCGUGCCAGCAGCCGCGGUAAUACGGAGGAUCCGAGCGUUAUCCGGAUUUAUUGGGUUUAAAGGGAGCGUAGGUGGAUUGUUAAGUCAGUUGUGAAAGUUUGCGGCUCAACCGUAAAAUUGCAGUUGAAACUGGCAGUCUUGCGUACAGUAGAGGUGUGCGGAAUUCGUGGUGUAGCGGUGAAAUGCUUAGAUAUCACGAAGAACUCCGAGUGCGAAGGCAGUUCACUGGACUGCAACUGACACUGAGGCUCGAAAGUGUGGGUAUCAAACAGGAUUAGAUACCCCUGUAGUC